rnacentral:lncRNA from 1 species
AGAAAGAUCAAUCUAGUUGGCCAAACCAAACCGAUAAUUCGAAGAGUCUUGCAAAGAUAACUAAUAACACAUAAAAGAAUUCAGAGGAGAUUCAAAUAUUUCUCAUAGAUAAACUUGAUCAUAAACCCACAAUUCAUCGGAUCUCGACAAACACACCACAAAAAGAGUUACAUCGAAUAGAUCUCCAAGAAGAUCGAGGAGAACUUUGUACUGAGAUUCAAAGAGAGAGAAGAAGCCAUCUAGCUAAUCACUAUGGACCAGAAGGUCUAUGGUAAACUACUCACAACUCAUCGGAGAGGCCUUGGAGAUGAUGUAGAGUCCCUCGAUGGUCGAUUCCCCCUCCGGCGGAGCGCCGGCGAAGGCUCCAAGAUGGGAUCUCGCGGAUACAGAAGGUUGUGGCGGUGGAAAUAGUUUUUCGUGGUGCUCCUGGAUGUUUUCAGGGUAUGUGGAUAUAUAUAGGCGAAGGAGGUAGCUAGGUCAGGGAGUCACAAGGGGCCCACGAGGGUGGGGCGCGCGCCCACCCUCCUAGGGCGCGCCCUCCUGCCUCGUGGCUGCCUGAUACGUCACUAGCGUAUCUAUAAUUUUUGAUUGUUCCAUGCUAUCAUAUUACCCCUUUUUGAUGUUUAUAGGCUUUAUUUUACAUAUUUAUAUCAUUUUUGGGACUAACCUACUAACCGGAGGCCCAGCCCCUAUUGUUGUUUUUUUGCCUAUUUCAGUAUUUCGAAGAAAAGGAAUAUCAAACGGAGUCCAAACGGAAUGAAACCUUCGGAGGAGUGAUUUUUGGAACGAACAUGAUCCAGAGGACUUGGAGUGCAAGUCAAGAAGCAGCCGAGGCGGCCACGAGAUAGGAGGGCGCCCCCCUGUAGGGCGCGCCCCUUGUUUUCAUGGACCCCUCGGGCGUCCACCGACGUACUUCUUCCUCCUAUAAAAGCCUAUGUACCCCGAAAACAUCCAGGGAGCACCCGAAACACAAUUUCCACUGCCAUAACCUUAUGUAUCCACGAGAUCCCAUCUUGGAGCCUUCGUCGGCGUUCUACCGGAGGGGGAAUCGACCACGGAGGGCUUCUACAUCAACACCAUAGCCCUUCUGAUGAGUUGGGAGUAGUUUACCACAGACCUACGGGUCCAUAGUUAUUAGCUAGAUGGCUUCUUCUCUCUUUUUGGAUCUCAAUACAAUGUUCUCCCCCUCUCUUGUGGAGAUCUAUUCGAUGUAAUCUCUUUUUGCGGUGUGUUUGUCGAGAUCCGAUGAAUUGUGGGUUUAUGGUCAAGUUUAUCUAUGAAUAAUAUUUGAUUCUUCUCUAAAUUCUUUUAUGUAUGAUUGAGUUAUCUUUGCAAGUCUGUUCGAAUUAUCAGUUUGUUUUGGCCUACUAGAUUGAUCUUUCUUGCCAUGGGAGAAGUGCUUAGCUUUGGGUUCAAUCUUGUGGUGUCCUUACCCAGUGAUAGAAAGGGUUGCAAGGCACGUAUUGUAUUGUUGCCAUCAAGGAUAAAAAGAUGGGGUUUAUAUCAUAUUGCAUGAGUUUAUCCCUCGACAUCAUGUCAUCUUGCUUAAGGCGUUACUCUGUUCUUAUGACCUUAAUACUCUAGAGGCAGGCAGGAGUCGGUCGAUGUGUGGAGUAAUAGUAGUAGAUGCAGGCAGGAGUCGGUCUACUUGUCACGGACGUGAUGCCUAUAUACAUGAUCAUGCCUAGAUAAUCUCAUAAUUAUUCGCUUUUCUAUCAAUUGCUCGACAGCAAUUUGUUCACCCACCGUAAUACUUAUGCUAUCUUGAGAGAAGCCUCUAGUGAAACCUAUGGCCCCCGGGUCUAUCUCUUAUCAUAUUUGCUUCCAAUCUACUUUUAUUUGCAUCUUUACUUUUUGCAUCUAUAUUAUUAAAUACCAAAAAUAUAUUUAUCUUAUCAUAUUAUCUCUAUUAGAUCUCACUUUCGCAAGUGGCCGUGAAGGGAUUAACAACCCCUUUAUUGCAUUGGUUGCGAGUUCUUUGUUUGUUUGUGUAGGUGUGUGGGACUUUUGAGGAGCCUCCUACUGAAUUGAUAACUUGGUUCUCAAAAACUGCGGGAAAUACUUACGCUACUUUGCUGCAUCACCCUUUCCUCUUUAAGGAAAACCAACGCAAGCUCAAGACGUAGCAAGAAGGAUUUCUGGCGCCGUUACCGGGUAGGUCUUCGCUCAAGUCAAGACAUACCAAGUACCCAUCACAAACUCAUCUCCCUCGCAUUUAUAUUAUUUGCCAUUUGCCUCUCAUUUUCCUCUCCCCCACUUCACCUUUGCCGUUUUAUUCGCCCUCUGUUUCCCAAUCUCCUCCUCUCUUUCCACUUGCCUUUUCUGUUUGCUUGUGUGCUUGUUUGACCUUAUGGCCUCGCCUAAGGGUUCUGACCACCUUCUCAGAAGGAUGGAAGAGAUUGAAUCAAAUAUUAAAAGAUUUAUGAAUUUGCAAUUUGAGCAUAAUAAUUUCUUUAGAAAAGAGGUGAAGGAAAGGUUUUUUGGGGUUUAUGAACAAAGAGCUUGAUGAUAUGAAUAAAGAAUUUUAUGGUGUUAAUGCUCAAAUUACCCGGCUUGAAAAUGCUAUAGCCAAAAUUUCUGAUAAGCAAGCCACCUUAGUCAAUAAGAUGGCCGCUAAACUAGAAAAGUUAGAUGAAAAUAAUGAUGAGGAUCUUAAAGUUAUUGAUCGUCUCCUAUUAGAUCCAUGUUUUGCAAUAUGAAUCUUGAUGAUUAUGGGACUGAUGAUGAGUCAACUUUACCUAGAAGCCAUCCCAAAAAUUCGAAGUUUUUAGAUCUUGAUGCUAAAUUUGGUAAAAGUGGGAUUGGAGAGGUCAUGACUUUAAAUAGUAUUGAACCCACUAUCUCGGAUUUCAAGGAAUUUGAUUACGAUAAUUGUUCUUUAAAAGGUUGUAUUUCCUUGUUGCAAUCCGUUGUUAAUUCUCCUCAUGCUUAUAGUCAAAAUAAAGCUUUUACCAAACAUAUCGUUGAUGCCUUGUUACAAUCUUAUGAUGAAAAACUUAAUUUGGAAGUUUCUAUACCUAGAAAACUUAAUGAUGAGUGGGAACCUACUAUAAAGAUUAAAAUUAAAGAUCAUGAGUGUUUUGCUUUGUGUGAUUUGGGUGCUAGUGUUUCCACGAUUCUGAAAACUUUAUGUGAUAAUCUAGGUUUCCAUGAUCUUGAUGAUUGCUCUUUAAAUUUGCACCUUGCGGAUUCCACCAUUAAAAAGCCAAUGGGAAGGAUCAAUGAUGUUCUCAUUGUCGCAAAUAGAAAUUUGGUGCCCGUAGAUUUUAUCAUUCUUGAUAUAGAUUGCAAUCUUUCUUGCCCUAUUAUUCUUGGUAGACCUUUCCUUAGAACGAUUGGCGCGAUUAUUGAUAUGAAGGAAGGGAAUAUUAGAUUCCAGUUUCCAUUAAAGAAAGGCAUGGAGCACUUUCCAAAAAAUAAAGUCAAAUUACCUUAUGAAUAUAUCAUGCGAGCUACUUAUGAAUCAAGUGCCAAAGAUGGCACUACUUAGAUCUAUCUUCGCUUUUAUGCCUAGCUAGGGGCGUUAAACAAUAGCGCUAGUUGGGAGGCAACCCAAUUUUCUUUGUGUUUUUUGUUUUUGUUCCUGUUUGUAAUAAAUUUUGCAUCUACUUUCUGUUUAGAUGUGUUUUUAUCUUUUCAUUAGUGUUUGUGCCAAGUAGAACCUAUAGGAUAAACUAUGAUGAUAGUUGAUUUGAUUCUGCUGAAAAACAGAAACUUUGCGCUCACGAGAAAAAAUUCAAUACAUCACAGAAACGUGCUUUUGCAUUGAUUCGUUUUGCUACUGAUCAAUAAACAAAUUGUCCGGUACUUCCUAUUUUGGUAGGAGUUUUAGAGUUCCAGAAGUUUGCGUUAGUUACAGAUUGCUACAGACUGUUCUGUUUUUGACAGGUUCUGUUUUUCAUGUGAUGUUUGCUUAUUUUGAUGCAUCUAUGGCUAGUAAAAUAGUUUAUAAACCAUAUAGAAGUUGGAAUACAGUAGGUUUAACACCAAAAUAAAUAAAGAAUGAGUUCAUUAUAGUACCUUAUGUGGUGGUUUUGUUUUCUUUCACUAACGGAGCUUAUAAGAUUUCCUGUUGAGUUUUGUGUUGUGAAGUUUUUAAGUUUUGGGUAAAGCUUUUAUGGACUAUGGAAUAAGGAGUGGCAAGAGCCUAAGAUUGGGUAUGCCCAUGGCACCCUAAGAUAUUCAAGGAUAUCCAAAAGCCUAAGCUUGGGGAUGCCCCGGGAAGGCAUCCCCUCUUUCGUCUUCGUUCAUUGAUAACUUUACUUGGAGCUAUAUUUUUAUUUGCCACAUGAUAUGUGUUUUGGUUGGAGCGUCGUGUAUUAUAUUAGUCUUUGCUUUUUAGUUUACCACAAUCAUCCUUGAUGUACACACCUUUUGGGAGAAGCCUACUUUAUUAGAAUUUGCUAGAAUACUCUAUGUGCUUCACUUAUAUCUUUUGAGCUUGAUAGUUUUUGCUCUAGUGCUUCACUUAUAUCUUCUAGAGCACGGCGGUGUCUUGAUUUUAUAGAAAUUACUAGUCUCUAUUGCUUCACUUAUAUUAUUUUGAGAGUCUUCUAGAACAGCAUGGUAUUUGCUUUGGUUACAAAUUUGGUCCUAGAAUGAUGAGCAUCCAAGUUGGGUAUAAUAAAAACUAUCAUAGAAAUUGAAUUGGAUGCUAUGAUCAAUUUGUUGCUUGAUAAUUGUUUUGAGAUAUGAAGGUAGUAAUGUUAGGGUCAUGCUAGUGGAUAAUUAUGAAAUUGAGAAAUACUUUUGUUGAAGUUGGCAAGUCCCGUAGCAUGCACGUAUGGUAAAAGUUGUGUGACAAAUUUGCUGCAUGAGGUUCUCUUUUGAUUGUCUUCCUUAUGAGUGGCAGUCGGGGACAAGCGAUGGUCUUUUCCUACCAAUCUAUCCCUCUUGGGGCAUGCGUAGUAGUACUUUACUUCGAGGGCUAAGUAGACUUUUGCAAUAAGUAUAUGAGUUCUUUAUGACUAAUGUGAGUCCAUGGAUAUACGCACACUCAUCCUUCCACUUUGCUAGCCUUUCUUAUUACCGCACAACUUUCGCCGGUAUUGAACCCAUUAUUUACCUUCCUAAAAAUAGUCACCAUACCUACCUAUUAUGGCAUUUCCAUAGCCAUUCCGAGAUAUAUUGCCAUGCAACUUUCCACCGUUCCGUUUAUUAUGACACGUUUCAUCAUUGUCAUAUUUCUCUUUGCAUGAUCAUGUAGUUGACAUUGUAUUUGUGGCAAGGCAACCUUCAUAAUUUUCAUACAUGUCACUCUUGAUUCAUUGCAUAUCCCGGUACACCGCUGGAGGCAUUCAUAUAGAGUCAUAUCUUGUUCUAGCUUUGAGUUGUAAUUUUUGAAUUGUAAAUCCAUAAAAGUGUGAUGAUCUUCAUUAUUAGAGCAUUGUCUCGGUGAGGAAAGGAUGAUGAUGACUAUGAUUCCCCCACAAGUCGGGAUGAGACUUCGGACUUUACAAAAAGAAAAAAAAAGAAAGGCCAAAAAGAAAAAAAAUGAGGCCGAAGAAGAAAAAAGGAGAAAAAGAAAAAAAGAAAAAGAAAAAAGAGAAAAAGAAAAAAAUAAAAUGAGAGAAAAAGAGAGAAGGGACAAUGCUACUAUCUCUUUUUCCACACUUGUGCUUCAAAGUAGCACCAUGAUAUUCAUGAUAGAGAGUCUCAUAUAUUGUCACUUUCAUAUAGUAGUGGGAAUUUUUCAUUAUAGAACUUGGCUUGUAUAUUCCAAUGAUGGGCUUCCUCAAAAUUCCCUAGGUCUUCGUGAGCAAGCAAGUUGGAUGCACACCCACUUAGUUUCUUUUUGUUGAGCUUUCAUAUAUUUAUAGCUCUAGUGCAUCCAUUGCAUGGCAAUCCCUGCUCACUCACAUUGAUAUCUAUUGAUGGACAUCUCCAUAGCCCGUUCAUACGCCUAGUUGAUGUGAGAUUAUCUUCUCCCUUUUUGUCCUUACAACUACCACCAUUUACCACCAUAGUGCUAUGUACAUGGCUUGCGCUCAUGUAUUGCGUAAGAGUUGAAAAAGUUGAAGCGCGUUAAAAAGUAUGAAACAAUUGCUCGGCUCGUCAUCGGGGUUGUACAUGAUGGGAGUAUUUUGUGUAAUGAAAAUGAAGCAUGGCCUAACUAUAUGAUUUUGUAGGGAUAAGCUUUCUUUGGCUAUGUUAUUUUGAUAGGACAUGAUUAUUUUUUAGUAUGCUUUGAAGCAUUAUUAUUUUUAUGUUUUAUAAGAUUUUAUCUUGAAUCAUUUGGAUCUGAACAUUCAUGCCAAAUUAAAGAAAAUCACAUUGAGACUUAUGCUAGGUAGCAUUCCACAUCAAAAAUUCUCUUUUUAUCAUUUACCUACUCGAGGACGAGCAGGAAUUUAGCUUGGGGAUGCUUGAUACGUCUCCAACGUAUCUAUAAUUUUUGAUUGUUCCAUGCUAUUAUAUUACCCCUUUUUGAUGUAUAUGGGCUUUAUUUUACACAUUUAUAUCAUUUUUGGGACUAACCUACUAACCGGAGGCCCAGCCCCUAUUGCUGUUUUUUUGCCUAUUUCAGUAUUUUGAAGAAAAGGAAUAUCAAAUGGAGUCCAAACGGAAUGAAACCUUCGGAGGCGUGAUUUUUGGAACGAACGUGAUCCAGAGGACUUGGAGUGCAAGUCAAGAAGCAGCCGAGGCGGCCACGAGAUAGGACGCCCCCCCCCCUUUAGGGCGUGCCCCCUGUCUUGUGGGCCCCUCGGGCGGCCACCGACGUACUUCUUCCUCCUAUAUAAGCCUGCGUACCCCAAAAACAUCCAGGGAGCACCCGAAACACAAUUUCCACCGCUGUAACCUUCUGUAUCCGCGAGAUCCCAUCUUGGAGCCUUCGUCGGCGUUCUGCCGGAGGGGGAAUCGACCACGGAGGGCUUCUACAUCAACACCAUAGCCCUUCAGAUGAGUUGUGAGUAGUUUACCACGUACCUAUGGGUCCAUAGUUAUUAGCUAGAUGGCUUCUUCUCUCUUUUUGGAUCUCAAUACAAUGUUCUCCCCCUCUCUUGUGGAGAUCUAUUCGAUGUAAUCUCUUUUUGCGGUGUGUUUGUCGAGAUCUGAUGAAUUGUGGGUUUAUGAUCAAGUUUAUCUAUGAAUAAUAUUUGAUUCUUCUCUGAAUUCUUUUAUGUAUGAUUGAGUUAUCUUUACAAGUCUCUUCGAAUUAUCAGUUUGGUUUGGUCUACUAGAUUGAUCUUUCUUUCCAUGGGAGAAGUGCUUAGCUUUGGGUUCAAUCUUGCGGUGUCCUUACCCAGUGACAGAAAGGGUUGCAAGGCACGUAUUGUAUUGUUGCUAUCGAGCAUAAAAAGAUGGGGUUUAUAUCAUAUUGCAUGAGUUUAUCCCUCUACAUCAUGUCAUCUUGCUUAAGGCGUUACUCUGUUCUUAUGAACUUAAUACUCUAGAUGCAGGCAGGAGUCGGUCGAUGUGUGGAGUAAUAGUAGUAGAUGCAGGCAGGAGUCGGUCUACUUGUCACGGACGUGAUGCCUAUAUACAUGAUCAUGCCUAGAUAAUCUCAUAAUUAUUCGCUUUUCUAUCAAUUGCUCGAUAGUAAUUUGUUCACCCACCGUAAUACUUAUGCUAUCUUGAGAGAAGCCUCUAGUGAAACCUAUGGCCCCCGGGUCUAUCUCUUAUCAUAUUUGCUUCCAAUCUACUUUUAUUUGCAUCUUUACUUUUUGCAUCUAUAUUACAAAAUACGAAAAAUAUAUUUAUCUCAUCAUACUAUCUCUAUUAGAUCUCACUUUCGCAACUGGCCGUAAAGGGAUUGACAACCCCUUUAUUGCGUUGGUUGUGAGUUCUUUUUUUGUUUGUGUAGGUGUGUGGGACUUUUGAGGAGCCUCCUACUAGAUUGAUACCUUGGUUCUCAAAAACUGAGGGAAAUACUUACGCUACUUUGUUGCAUCACCCUUUCCUCUUCAAGGAAAACCAACGCAAGCUCAAGAUGUAGCACUGCCUCGCUGCUUCUUGACGUCCACUCCAAGUCUCCUGGAUUGCGUUUGUUCCAAAAAGAUCGCUCCCAAAGGUUUCAUUCCGUUUGGACUCCGUUUGAUAUUCCUUUUCUUUGAAGCACUGAAAUAGGAAAAAAACAGCAAUUCGGGUUGGGCCUCUGGUUAGUAGGUUAGUCCCAAAAAUGAUAUAAAAGUGUAGAGUAAAGCCCAUAAACAUCCAAAACGGGUAAUAUAAUAGCAUGGAACAAUAAAAAAUUAUAGAUACGUUGGAGACAUAUCACCAAGGAAGAAGCAGGAGGGGGCUCUCUCCCCCUCUCUCCUGGUGGCGUCGGAGUGCCGCCGGGGCUAGGAUCGUGACGGCGAUCUACAUCAACAAUCUUGCUACCGUCAACACCAACUCUCUCCCCCUCUAUACAGCGGUUUAACACCCCUUCUUCCCGUUGUAAUCUCUACUUAAACAUGGUGCUCAAUUCCAUAUAUUAUUUCCCAAUGAUUUAUGGUUAUCCUAUGAUGUUUGAGUAGAUCCGUUUUGUCCUAUGGGUUAAUCGUGAUCUUUGUUGGUAUGAUUGUAUAUUUUAUUUAUGGUGCUGUCCUACAGUGCCCUCUGUCUCACGCAAACGUUAGGGGGCCCUGCUGUAGGGUGUUGCAAUAUGUUCAUGGUUUGCUUAUUGUCAUUGUUGCGACGGAUGACAGCAGCCUAAACGCGGAUAAGUGGGUCAUGGCCUAUGGGAGUAAAGAGGACUUGAUACUUAAUGUUGUGGUUGGGUUCACGACCUUAAUGAUCUUUAGUAGUUGCAGAUGCUUUCUAGAGUUCCAAUGAUAAGUGCAUAUGAUCCAAGUAGAGAAAGUAUGUUAGCUCAUGCCUCUCCCUCAUAUAAAAUUACAAGAAUGAUUACCGGUACUUGUUAUAAAUUGCCUAGGGACAAAUGACUUUCUCGUUGACAAAAGCUAUCCACUUUUAUUAUAUUGCAAUUUAUCUGUAGUUUUAUUCUCGCAAAGUACUCAUAGUUUUAUUCUUGUAAAAUAGUUUCAUACUUGUUCUAGGUAAAGCAAACGUCAAGUGUGCAUAGAGUUGUAUCGGUGGUCGAUAGAACUUAAGGGAAUAUUUGUUAUGCCUUUAGAUCCUCGUUGGGUUCGACACUCUUAUUUUAAAACAAGGCUACAAACGAUCCCCUAUACUUGUGGGUUAUCAGGCGGUGAAACUCCCGAUCUAGGUUUCUUUUCGGGGAUUUCUGUACUUAUAGGAAUUUUUCGCGUAGGUUUCACGUCAGGGGGACGGUUCCACAAGUCAAUUACAAGACCGGAGCACCCUCCUAGGGGUAGGGCGCGCCCUCCACCCUUGUGGUUGGCUCGGGACUCUUCUGGACCAACUCUUUUUCUUCGGGGUCUUCUUCUGGUCCAUAAAAAAGCACUGUAAAUUUUCAGCUCAUUUGGACUCCGUUUGAUAUUCCUUUUCUGUAAAACUCAAAAACAAGGAAAAACAGAAACUGACACUGGGCUCUAGGUUAAUAGGUUAGUCCCAAAAAUAAUAUAAAAUAGCAUAUAAAUGCAUAUAAAACAUCCAAGAUGGAUAAUAUAAUAGCAUGGAACAAUAAAAAAUUAUAGAUACGUUGGAGAUGUAUCAGGGGAGGGGAGGGUCCGCCGUGGGGGGUGAAGAAGAAGGUGAAUGCGAUGGGGGAUGAGCCAAGAAAAUAACUACGAAGCGUCCGUCGGCCCAAUAGUGUCCAACACAAUUUCCCAUUGGAUGUCACUAUAAUGGUCAUGUAGUUCGAGGAAAGCGAGUGGUUUGACUAACUAAACAUGGCUAAUGGUUCGGCUUCUUCAAAACCUAGCAUGGCACAUGACAACUAUCUGUUAGUGCCCUUGAUGAAGAGAACGAACACGUCUAUCGGUUAGUAGGCACCAGAAACUGUGACAACACGUCUCGACUAUGCGUGAGUGCGGUUGACUAGGUGCAAUACGACCAUCGAAUUGACGUGACACGAGAAAAUAUACACAUCUAGACAAAAGCUGUGUCUAUCACAUGCUCAGAAACGACUACCAGAAUAGUGCCUUACAUCGGGCAUAAGGCGGCAUGCCAUUUGUCGUUCACUCGGUGAGGUGUCUACCAACAGGGCGUAUCCGUUGGGUGCCACGUCGGAUGGUUUUACCGACAACCGCUGGUCAUUGAUGGUCAUAGAUAACAAGCGGUUUGGCCUCCGUACUUGUGACGGACACGACUAGCGGUUAGUAGUUUCUUGGCAAGGCCAUGGAUGCGCUUAUCUCUGUUCCGCAACUUCGCCGGCGAGUCCGGUCUGAAGUUGCAGAGCAAGGGCGAGCGUCGUAGAUGAAGUAGCCAAAGACGCAAAGCAGGUGGACACGGAGAAGUACGGAGGAGACUAGCUUUAUUAAUCAAUGAUCAAGUGUUAUAAUGAUUGCUCCUUGUUGCUCUAGGGUAGGGGGUCAAGGGAUAAGUACCCACUUAACGUAAAGUGUGGAACCGAGGGGGGGCUAACCCGUGCAUCGCACGUGGCCACCGCCACCAUCGUGGUGGACCCAGUUUCUCAACACUCCCCCUUGGGUAAUUAUCCGUAUAUCCAUGCCUCAAAACUCCAAAAAAAACCAGUGGGAAAAAUAUGGAGAAAGAGCACAUAGUAUACAUUGUUGUAUUGCACAAAUUGCCUCGUCAAAAACCUCGUGUGAGAAACAUCAGGAAAACUCAAGGGAAAAAGAGUACAAUCCACUCAACCAUCAAGUUGAGUACUCGAUCAUCAGGAUCGAGAUUUUAACGACGAGUUUGUGAAGUUUCUCUCCCUGAACCUUGAAUUUCUCUAAGUCUCAUCAUACCGAUUCCAUGCACACACCUCUCUAAGGUUGAUGUCGGUAAUGAUUUCAUGAACAUAUCAGCAAGAUUGUCACAGGACUUAGUGUGCAAAACUCUCACCUCGUUCAACUGUCGUAGCUCAUGUGCAUAGAAGAACUUGGGACUAAUAUGCUUUGUGAGGUUACUCUUCACAUAACCCAUCUGGACUUGUGGAACACAAGUAGCAUUAUCUUCAUAGACAAUGGUAGGGGUUUGUACGGUGUUCAGCCCACAUGUCGGCUGAAUGUGGCCGAUCAUCCGCCGCGAUACACAUUCUUUUGGCGCUUCGAAUAGUGCCAUGAUUUCUGAGUGGUUCGAGGAAGUCGACACAAUAGUUUGCUUGGACGAUUUCCAGGAAAACACAGUUCCACCACAAAGGAAAACAUAUCCAGUCUGCGAUUUGCAAUCAUGCAGGUCCGAUAGGUAGCCAUCAUCGGCAUAGCCUAUAAUAGAUAGGUCUUGAUUCCUUUUAUAAAAUAAGCCAAGAUCUUUGGUCCCUUGCAGGUAACAGAAGACAUCCUUGACACCUUUCCAAUGUCUUUUGGUAGGUUCAGAACUGUACCUCGCAAGCAAACUGACGGCGAAUGCAAUGUCUGGCCAUGUACAGUUUGCGAGGUACAUGAGUGAUCCAAUUGCACUCAGGUAAGGAACCUCUGGUCCCAGAGUUUCCUCCCCCUCUUCCUUUGGCCUGAACGGGUCCUUGUCUGGCUGUAAGGAUCUCCCGACCAUCGGGGUCUUAGAAGGAUAUCCCUUAUCAAAUCCAUAUCUUUCCAACACCUUCUACGUGUAGGCCGACUGGUGCACUAGAAUCCCAUCAGGGGAAUGUUCAAGUUGCAGACCUAGACAGAACUUGGUUUUACCCAAAUCCUUCAUGUCAAAUUCCGACAUCAGGUAGGAACUCGCUUCCUCAAUAUCCUCAGGCGUACCGAUUAUGUUUAAAUCGUCCACGUACACCGAGAUUAUACAGAAUCCAUCUUGGGAUUGCUGUAUGAAAACACAUGGGCAAUCUUUAUUUCUUGUGUAGCCCUUCUGAUGAAGGAAAUCGCUUAAGCGAUUGUACAACAUUCUACUAGACUGUCUAAGUUCGUAUAGUGCCUUCUGAAGUUGAACACUGUAUAGACCCCUAUUUGCUCUAUCAUGGUUCGGAUAGGGAUACAUUCUGGAACCUUCAUGUAUAUGUUUGAAUCCAAGUUACCAUACAGGUAAGCAGUGACAACAUCCAUUAGUUUCACUUUCAAGCCCAUGUUUACUGCCAUCGAGAUCAAUUAUCUAAAGGUAACUCCAUCCAUGACCGGGGAAUAAGUCUCUUCAAAAUUGACACCUGGUCGUUGAUUGAACCCUUGAGCGACGAGCCCUACUUUGUACCAUACUACCUUAUUAUUUUCAUCUCUCUUUUGAACAAAAACUCACCUAUGGCCAACAGGGCGAAUGUGGGGAGGAGUUCGAAAAACUGGUCCAAACACCUUCCUUUUGUUGAGAGAUAAUAAUUCAAUAGUAAUUGCCUCCUGCCAAUCUUUCCAAUAUGACCUUUCUUGCAAUCAGCGAGCGUGUUAGGCUCAGGGUCGAGAUCUAUGAUUGAGGCAAUUUUUGUAGCAAAGUUAAUGUCGACCAUCACUGUUGCUCAGUUUAGGGACUACCGCGUAUAAAUAUAAUUUAUGGCCAUUUCGUCAUGGAGCAAAUUCGGCGCAAACACUUGCUCUACCAAAUUUCCCAUUAUGGGAGCAAGGUCCUUCAGAUUUCCCGCGCCGAUGUGUGCGAUCACAUCUCCGAUGGGUGUUUCCCUUAUGGGAAAGUUUAAGUCCGGAAUUUCAUGCACUGAAUUUUCUGUACUUGUGCCAGGUCUCGGCUGGCUCCCCAUUUCAAUUUGGGGUACUUUGGCGAUAGGCUGUAAUAAUCUCCCUUAUCCUUUUUCGUCGGGCGUCCCCUAGUACUUGGGAUUUGAGAAUCCGGAUUUCUCGUCCUUUUAGGCCUUUGGACGGGAGAGGGUAUACCAUCAUUUUUCUUUGGUAUUUCAACCCUUUCCGGUGCAUUGCGUGCGUGCACAUGCGAUUUUGUCACAGUCUUUAAGUCACUAAAGUGGUCAGGCAGUUGAUUUGCUAAAGACUGCAAAUCUAUUAUUUUGUCACAGUCUUUAAGUCACUAAAGUGGUCAUGAGCAUGGAUCCCCGUGGCUUGCCAUGUGAUUUCUAGACUUUUAGCAUCAAGGGGUUGAUUCUCUCCCCCUAAAGUUGGGAAAAAAAUCCUCGUCAAAAAUGCAAUCAGCAAAACAAGCCGUGUGAUAGUCACCUGUCAUGGGGUCCAGAUACCUGAUUAUGGACACAAUAUCAUAACCAACGUAUAUCCCCGACUUAUGGAGCAGGCCCAUCACCGAUCACUGAGGGGUGGUAUUGGUACAUAUACCUGGCAACCGAACCUACGAAGGUGGGAAAUUUUCGGUGCCGACCCUUGCGCAAGUUGAACAGGAGAGUGGAUGUUGUAGGCCAAUGGUCUGAAGUUGAUGAGAUUGGUUGCGUGUAGUACCGCGUGGCCCCAACAUGUAGUUGGUAAAAUACAACCCUGAAGGAGCGGUCGAGCAAUGAAUUUAAUUCUUUUAAUCAAUGCAUCGGCACAUUUUGUGUAUGAACAUGCAGUACCGAGUGCUCAACUUUGAUUCCCAUUGCCAUGCAAUAAUCAUCGAACGCCUUUGAAGUAAAUUCUUCGGUGUUGUCCAUUCGACCAUUUAGAGGAAGCAUCAAUGAGCACCAUGAAGUACCGAAACGCCCCGUGAGGGGCUGAAUUGGACCGCAUAUGUCCCCUUGGAUACGUUUCAAGAACGCGGGGAUUUCAUCCCUCACCUUGAGGGGCGAUGGCUUAAUGACUAACUUCCCCUUAGCGCAUGCGGAGCACACGAAAUCAUCGGGAUUCGGGAAGUUCUUCACGUUAACAUUCAUGCGAGUUGUUAAUUAUAUUUCUCAUCAUCCUAAGUCCGGGGUGGCCUAAACUAUCGUGCCAGAGGUAGUAGAGUUCAGAGUCUCUAAAGACGGUCUUGAGGGUAGUGUACACGGGCGGUGCUACUAUUUUAGUGUAGUAUAGCCCUGUGUCAAACGAAGGAAGCCUUUCGAUAACAUGUUCACCACCUGCAUCCCGCUUUGUGAUGAGUAGGCACUCCUUGCCGUUUUCAUCAUCGGUCUCAAUAUGGAAACCAUUAGCACGGAUGUCUCUAAAGCUCAAAAGAGUACGAGUCAACUCCGGGUACAACAAUUCAUCAUUAAUGAUCAAAGUUGUUCCCAUAGGAAGUAUAAUAGUGGCUCGUCCGGAGCCAACUAUGUGUGAACCGCAGCCGUCGAUUGUCAUAAUACUUCCUGGAGAUUUUUUAAUGGACUCAAAGUACUUAGUUUCUCGUAAAUGGUAUGUGGGUGGUGGCGCUAUUGGCAAGGCACGUUUCCUCCAUUCGGGCGCCACGCACGUUCUAAAAUAUGACAUCUAAUUACUGCAAUGAGGAAGAAACUACAUUAAAAAUAAAUGCACACAUCUCAGAACAUAACAUACUAUCAUGUAUAAAUAAUGGAAUAAAUGAAUAAAAUAAAUAUCAUCCAAUCGCCAAAGUAAAGAAUAAGUUGAUGCUCUCAUAGAGCUUACAACCAAAUCAAAUUUAUUGUAUCAAAUCACGGAAUCAUGAUAACCAAAGUGGUAUGCUAAGUGGACUCGGUAAAGAAGCCAUUGACUUCAGCCGCAAUCUCCAUACUAGUGAGUUGAUCCUCCUUAGAAAUCAUCUUGGAGGCAGCAACAACAUCUAGUUGCGGCACCGCCGAGGCGAUCCUGUGGUCAACCUCCAUGGCGACGUGGGCAUCAUUAGAGACCGCCAAAGCCGCUGCGAUGGGCACCACGGGGGUCGCCUCUAUGGGUGCAGCAGGGGGCGUAGAGAUCAUCACGGGUGCCGCCAUGGGCGCCAGUGGUGCUCCCUCUUGAACCAAGGCGAGGUGCAUCUCACGCGCCUUCCGAGCCUUAUAUGCUUCAAUGACCUCAUGUGGUGCGCGGCACUGGCGGGAGAAAAGCUCCACCAAGCCACAACGGAAGCAGUCAUGAGGCCUCUGCCCUCCCUUGCCCGGCUUUUGCUGCUUAGCAGGGGCGGAGGGUUGAGGGCCCUUCUUCUUGCCCUUGUGGCCCCUCUUCUUCUUUUGAGGCUUGUAGACUUUGAGAGCGUUCACCUCCUAGCAAGAACUCCCCCCAAGUGGUUGCGCGACAAAGUUCUUUUUCAGAACCUCGUCCUGCGCCUCCUCCACAGGGAGGACCCAAUAAACUCUGAAUACCUCGUGUAGUUGCCUGGCGGUAGUUCCAUGAGGACUGGACCGCGUCAGUGUGGAAAGUGGAUAGGGUUUUCUCAAUCUUCUGGGUGUCGGUAAUCUCAGUACCACACAACUGAAGAGUCGUAAAAACCCGGUGUAGAGCCGAAUUGUACUCCCCAACCGUCUUGAAGUCCGCAAACCUCAGACGGAUCCACUCUGCCUCUGCACGUGGCAUCAUAGUGUACUUCGGCCGCUCAAACCGCUGCUUAAGAGCGGUCCAAAGGCCAGAAGCAUUGCGCUCAGCCAUAUACUCAUCUUUUAGAGUAGGUGAUAGGUGAUGACGGAGAAAAUGCAGAGCCUGCGCAUUCUCAGUUUCAAACUUGGGAGCAGCGGGGACCAGCUAGGUCCCCUUAUAGAUUGCCCUAGGAGGCUUUUUCCCUGGAGAAAGAUCUUGCAGUCCGAGGACCAUGACAGGUAAUUCAGCCUUGUCUAGGCCAACUCAGCAAACUCCUUGUUGACAAUUCUGGUCAUCUGCGAUUUAUGCAAAAAUCAUGAGAUUACAUCAGGUAAUCUAUUGCACAAAUGCGAUAUUCCAUUAUUUAAAACAUGUUAUUAUAUGAUUUACUUAAUGAUUAAGAGUGUUAAACAAUUAAUCUACGGUAGUAAAAUCAUACAAUAAAAACAUGUUUACAAAAUAUAGCAUGUUAAGCGCAUUUCUUACGUGAAAACUAGCCCAAAAAUAGAAUUCCCGAGAAAUUUUUAAGCCUCAAAGAGCAUUUUUAGCAAAAAAAGACAGGUCCAAGGACUUAUACACAAAAUAUUAUAGCAGGAAUAUAGUUGCAUAAAUCUACGGUACUGCAGGGGCUAAAACACAAAAAACUCCACGCUGCAGCCAGCGCCACCUUUUUUUAUACGAGGACCCCCACGGCCGCGGCCCAUCUGGGCCUAGCUGCCAGUGCCCGGAUGGCCCACCCGGCCCUCACCCAAGUGGAGGGGCAUGCUAGGGUUACUAGCGCCCGAGUGGGCAGGGCAGCGGCGGCUGCGGCCACGCCGUGUGGCAGCGGCGGCAGGCUUGAUGGAGAGUUGGUGGAGCGAAGUGUGCUGUUAACAUGUUCCACAACUCCGCCGGUGAGUUCAGUCCGAGGUUGCAGAGCGAGGGCGAGUGUCAUAGACGAAGUAGUCGAACACGCAAAGUAGAUGGAAACAGAGAAGUAUGGAGGAGACUAGCUUUAUUAACAAUGAUCAAGUGUUAUAAUGAUUGCUCCUCGUUGCUUUAUAUAGGGGGUAGGGGGUCAAGAGAUAAAUACCUACUUAACGUAAAGUGUGGCACCGAGGGGGGGCUAACCCAUGCAUCGCACGUAGCCGCCACCACCAUCGUGGUGGACCCGGUUUCUCAACAAUCUCUACUACUUAGAAAACGUAAGGUCUUACGUUUUCAUUUCACCUUUCUUCCCACCACCCUUUCGUCCAACCUUUCAUGUAUAUAAUAAUUAAUCACCUUAAUUUACUUAUCUUCUAAACCAAUUUCACUUUAAUUUACUUACCAAACUUCUAAUCAAAAUACAAGGUAAUUAUCUGGGGGGUGAACCCCGGGCAGGCAACGGAACCCGGAUCCUUUUCAAAAAACAUCGGGGCCAGCGUCGCCCCUCAGUCUGGCUCGCAAUUGGCCGGGUUCAUCAACCGGCCAAGUCCCUCAACCCGGACGAACUAUUCGACCCGACGAAGACGGCGACCCGUCCUGCCGGCUGGCGCAAGCAGACCAAACCCAGCUCACCAAGACUUCCCCAAAAAGCCAGCUCCCCCAUGGUGUAUCCCUCCACCCGGCCACGGGUCAGCCCCCGUCCCAUUCCAGCCGUAUGAUGGGACGACUCUCCAUGACAGGGAUGAGCGAGGCAACAAUGCUCCACCAACUCCUCUGACCAGCAGAGGCGCGGCAACAGUGCCCCACCUACUCUGCUGACCAAGGCCGACAUGGCUACAGCGCACCUGUCGUCACUGUUGAUGCCAGCAGACGGGAAUCGGGCGGUGCACCACUGUAGCGGACUCGACUCGGCCACUCUGUGACGAUCGACAAGAUGGCAAACAGUGCUUCCUGGCACACGGGUCCCACACCCGUAGAACCCAGCGAGCCCUGACACCCGACGGGUCCCAGCACCGGCUUCCCGGAUGAUGACAACCCGGCUCCAUGGCCUUGUAACAUUAUCAUUGUACCCCUUGGGGUUGACCAAUAAAACCCCCCAGGAGCCCUCAUGCAUACGGGCACGCAACACAUGAUCAGACUAGAGACACAUUCACCUACAGGGAGAAGGAGUGGCCUAAGCCUUGGCUUGCCUUCCUUCUUCCUCCAUACAGCUCUAGGAGCGACUCUGUACCAUUUCACAUAAACCACACUCGGCAGGACUAGGGGUAUUAUCUCUCUGGAGAACCCCGAACCUGGGUAUGUCUUCCGUUCCUCACUCGCUCAUACCGACCUCGCCUCUGGAGCCCACCGGUGCCCUCGAGCCUCUUCCUCUCUUUAGCCAUCCUUUGGCAUCUGCAGUCACCCACCACGACAGUAAUUCACGGGUAGAAUUUGAUGAACAUUUAUUUACACAAUCACAUUAUUAUUGACAUGUAAAUCACAAGCUAACGUAUUAGAAUAUUUAUAUCAUGUUGCAACGCACGGGCCAUUUAGGGAAAUAAAUACCAUCGGUCCAUGGACCGACGAAGCAGUGGCGGACAAAAUAAGAGCAUUUCAUCCUGAGUCGAAGGCAUGCGUUGGGUAGGACAUGCGCAUAUGUGUGGUGAGAUCCAGGGGCCCAAUAGUUAGCACCUGGCCGUUUCGACUCACUAGGUUCCAGAAAACAACCUAUCCGCCUCCGUCGCCGCAACAGAUCGAACUUUUUUGGCGCCCUCUUCCUACGGCUCCCCUCCGCCGGCGACCUCUUGGUCAUCGGUGGUGAGGGGGCGCCGGAUCCCGCAUUUGCGGAUAGUUUUAGCUGUAGGUUUUAGGGCCCUAGUAGCUUAGGUUUUUAGAUCGUUCGACGUCUUGGCUUCGGUGGUGGCAACAGUGACGCUGAAUAAAGAAGCUCCGGAUUCUUUUCCGGCGAGGCGAUUGCCCCUUUAGUUGGUCAUGAAUUUUGGAAUCAGUCUAUGCAAGCAGGGACAUCGUGACGGCGACGGCAUCCUUGUGGUGGACUUGUGUCCUUGUGCUCCACCAUUGCGAUAGCGUCUGCUCCAGCAUCAGUGUGGAGCUUGGGGGAUAGUCCAGGAGCGGAUGCAGAUUGUGGUCUGCAUCAAUGACAUCUGGAAAACGGAAUGUGUGCUGGGUUCGUGGUUGAUGGAUGGCAGGUAUGGCUUCCUCCUCCGGCAUCUUAGUCGUGGCGGGGUGCCAGAUCUAGAGUUCGAUGCCAUGCCCGAGGUGUUGCCCUGGUCUAAUUCAUUCAACGGCAACGACUUCACCUUUGGUGAGCCGCCUUCGAGGUCCGCAAAGCUGCAUAUCAGCGAUGGAACCGUGUUGAGCUCGGGUGAGAAGGUUAUCCAUCAUUGUUUUUCUUUGGUGGCUGCUGUGGUGGUGCCGGAGGCAGGAGACGGGUGUUGGUGUCAAGCUUAGAGACGUUCUGUUGUCUUUUCAGUUUUGUCAUGUCGGUCUUUACAUGACUUGUACUUUGAUCUUUAUGAUACGAACGAGACACAUGUUACCAUAAAAAAGUCCUCCAAGUCGAAGCAGCAAGGGCCCCCUCGCCUAAACCCGGGCAUGGGCAGCCCGGCCCGAUGACCCGGCCCAAAAAACCCGGGCCGGGCCGGGCCGGGCUUGACGUUUGGGCUGGGCUCGGGCCUAGUUUUGCAGCCCGGAAGAUAGUUCGGGCCGGGCUCGGGCUUCAUUUUUUAUGUAUUUCGGGCCGGGCUUUCGGGCUUCGGGCCGGGCUUGCACGUGCGUACACUAAAAAACAGCGUUCGGGGCGGGCUUUCGGGCUUCGGGCUUGACUUCGGGCCGGGCUCGGGCUUGAAAACAGGGAGUAUUUCGGGCUUCGGGCCAGGCUCGGGCUUGGGAAAUGAAGGUCGGGCUUUUAUAAGCCCGGCCCGAAACCCGGCCCGGCCCGAUGUUUGCCCGGGUUUACCCUCGCCCAGCAGUCACAGAAGCUAUUCGGCUUGCUUGCCCUACUGCUGGUCUGGUGAUCCCCCCUUGUGGCCAUGCCCAUCUCGUCUAGUAAUUGAUUGAGGUGCACCUUAGGCCAACUGCAAUGCGCAGUCCCAAACGGACGUCUGGUUCGUCCGCUUUUCGUUUGUUUGGGGCAGGAAAAUGGACACGCCCGUCCGCUUGCGGUCGUGUGGGCUUCGGUGCGCCCAAUGGGUCGGCCGCACCCCAAACGGUCUGUGCGUUUGGCCUCGAAAAUAAACCUCCCAAAACCCCAAAUAAAACAUUAAAAACAACAUCGAAAAUAUUAAACUCAUGCACUAAAACGUCUACAUUACCCAAGUUCGACAUUAAUAUAAACAAGAUAAAAAACAUUUAAAAAUAGAAAGGGUCGUCGCCGCCGCCCUGGCCACCGUUGCCUGCCGUGGCCGCCGUCUACUCCUCGUCGCUCGGUGAGGUCGAUGUAUGGAGGUGGCUGCCAGAGGUGGGCUGGCGGAGCCGCCUGCUGUGCCGGCUGCGGUGGCGCUUGCACCACCUCUUCGUGCGGUGGGGAUGGUGACCAAUGGCCGACGUCCACCUCGGGUGCGCACGGCACGAUCUCCGUCCACGUCUAGGACUGACUGACAAAUGUCGGGUUCCACCCCGUCGUCUCCUCCAUCGCGGCCUUUGGUCGCGCCUCCUCUAUGGCAUCCUCCUUCACGUGCGUGUCGAGCUCAGGGAAGGCGACGUCGCCGGCUGCGGAGAGGGCCAGCAUCUCCUUGAGGCCCUCCCAUUGGCGCUCGUCGUGGAUGUAGACGGACUCCUCCAUCACCAUCCUCUCGAGCUCCUCCUGCUCGGCCGCCGACAUUGGCUCGGGGGGUGGUGAGGGAGACGGCGACGAGGUGAAGCCGCGAACCUGCCUGCGGCCACGCACCUGGGGCAUGCUGGGAGCGGGUGCACGGCGGUCAGCGUGCGGGCGACGCGAGCUUGCCGGACGGCCUGCAAAAUAGGACUGUCGUCGGAUGUCGUGCUCGUCGCAGAGCCACGUAUCCUAUAGUGGCGAGUCCACGGCAUACCUCCAGUCGUGGAUGAGGUCCGGGAGGAGGCGGGCGCGGCGACGAUGGAUCUCCUCCCGACGGGCGCGGCUGCUCACUGGCACCAGCGUCAUAGGCACGCAAUCCGCAGAGCGGUGCCAGUUGUUUGGGAGGUGCACGUCUCCCCAUGGCAACGGCGUGCGUGUCUCCCAGUACCGCUGGCACACCUCCGCCUUGACGUACGGCCGCCGGCGAGGUGGGGUGCUGCCCGACGCGAUAUGGUAUGCGGGCGGGGGAGGUGGGGGUGGAGGCGGGGUGUGGGAGCGGCGUGCGACCGGACGACGAGCCGGCCUCCUGGUCGUCCCUUGUCUUGCGGCCGGGGAACCAUCGCCCCACCAUUGUGGCUGGUGGAGAGGGGCGGAGAGGGGGAAGGCUAGGGUUUGCUUGUCGGGGUUGUAGGAGGCAGGCCGGCCGGGAAGUGGAAGCUGUGGACUGGCCGGUCCACGGCUUCCAAUUUAAGAAAGACGACGACCGCAUGAUGUGUGGCUGACAGCCAGGGCCCGCCGCACGUGCAUAUUUAGUUUGGGCGAUGGAGUUAGUUGGGCGGCCGCCACGUGUCGCCGAGGCGAACGACCCGCCAUCGCGUGUUCGUCCGUUCGGCGUCCAUUUGGACGCAAACCGAUCACAUGGUUGCGCUGAAAAUGGAACAGGAUGGACGCCAAACAGACAUAAUUUAAGGAUGUGGCCGCGCGUUGGACCGUGUCAUCUGUCUGUUUUAGUCCAAACGGACGCGGGCGGAUAGAAUGGGGUCGCGUGUUGGAGUUGGGCUUACUAAUUAUUAGAGCGAGCGCUGGUUGUUUGGAUCCUUUCAUCACAAAACGGAUACUCCUUUGUACGUAGUUUUUAUAAGAUCGUUCUACGUACACUUUAGUGAUUUAUAAACCAUCUUGUAAAAGUUUACAGAUGGAGUAGGUACGAUCGCGCGUUCCAUCACCAAGCUGCAUUUGGCAAACAAAAAAGCACUGCACUGCAUGCGGGGCCAUUCAAGUUCAUCUGAUCUAAUGUGCUGCAGAAAGGGCAGAGGGUGGCGACAUGAAACUUCUGGUGGCUUCUUCGCUUUGCAGAGGGAGGGAUGGGGUGGCCUUUGGAUGCUCUUUUGGUUCCUUUCCUUUCAGCUGGACCAAGAACUGCCUCUGACCUGUCCUGCCUGGCUGGCUGGGUGGGGUCACCACAUUGCCACGAUCAUUUUCUGGGCGUUUGGUUUUAGGCCUAGCAAUGUCACACUUUAUCAUACAAUAUUCUUAAACUUGUCUAAGGUUAGUUCUUUAAAAUGAGAGCCACAAGUUAGCAAGCCUAUGGGGUUCUUGCCACACUUUUCGUGUGUAUGUCAUGUGUGGCCUAGUGUGACUUGCCUAAGGUGUGACUUGAACCAAAAACUCACCUAAGUUGGUCAAACUUGUCUAACCUUUUUUUUGAGGAGAAAAAAAAGGCAAUCUUAGUCGCAAACCAAACAGCCUCUCUUUCUUUCCUUUCCUUUUCUUUAUUUCUUUCUUUAUUUCUUUCUUUAGCAACAAGGGAACUACUUUCUUGGUUCCCAAAUAUAAGUCUUUCUAGAGAUUCCAACGAGUGACUAUAUACGAAGUGAAAUGAGUAAAUAUAUACUCUAAAAUAUGUCUACAUACAUCCGUAUGUUGUAGUCCAUUUGAAAUGUCUAAAAAAACUUAUAUUUAAAAACGGAGGGAGUACUUCAUAAAAAAAUCUUUUUGUCAUGGUACUCCACUGUCAGAGUGGUUGAACAGUGCAACUGCGUUACUAGUUUUGAAUCAAUAUAUCACCUUUCUUUUUGGAAAGCUCUGCUCCAUGUACCGUAAGAAAUUCUUUCUGUUAUGUGGCUACCAAACAGACAAUGGCCCAUAGAAAAUAACAUGGGCGGGCACAAGAAAGAUCACCAAACAUGCAGGAAAAUGGACCGAAUACCAAAAGCAUAGCAUAGCAUUGCCCAGAAUUAAUCCCCACCCCAUGCGCUGCAUGGCUGCCGAUUCGAUAAUUAAGACGCAGAGCAGGACUACACCACCACAUUGACUAGUGGAGGACCCAAGUACUUACUGAAACCAAUCCACAGAGAGUAGCAUCCAUAGCAUGGCAAUGGCAUGGCAGCAGAUUAAUCUGACGGACGGACCCAACUCAACUGAAACCAUAAGCACUAGUCUGCACGACGAAGUAGCUAUCUACUAGUAACUAGCUAGAGAUCAUGAUCAUAGAUGAUGAUGAAGUAAACGAGUGAUUGAUAUACUACUUGUAGGAAGGAAGGAGAGCUUGGCAAUGAAUCACGGCCGGCCGUGCAGGUCGGCGUCGAAGGUGUGCGCCCAAGCCACCUCCACCAGCACGUACGCGGUUGCCAGAUAGCCGAGGGCGUCCUCGAUGGGGGUUUCGCUCAGGCUGAUGCGGCGGAGGACCCAGGCGCAGCGGUGGAGGUAGUGGUCGAUGGCGAGCCGGACGCAUGUGUGGGCGACGUGCACGGAGUUGGGGACGUCUUGCGCGCUGUAGUCGCCGCCGUCCACGCUCGGGAGCGCGACCAGCUGGGCGGCGAUCUCGUCGUGCGACAGGCCAGCGUCGAGGACGUGGAGGGCGUCCCUUGCGGCGCCGUUCGAGACGGCGACGCUGAG